AACGAACGCUGGCGGCAUGCCUAACACAUGCAAGUCGAACGAGACCUUCGGGUCUAGUGGCGCACGGGUGCGUAACGCGUGGGAACCUGCCCUUAGGUUCGGAAUAACUCCCCGAAAGGGGUGCUAAUACCGGAUAAUGUCUUCGGACCAAAGAUUUAUCGCCUUUGGAUGGGCCCGCGUUGGAUUAGCUAGUUGGUAGGGUAAAAGCCUACCAAGGCGACGAUCCAUAGCUGGUCUGAGAGGAUGAUCAGCCACACUGGGACUGAGACACGGCCCAGACUGGAGAGGGGGAAAGGGGGGGGGAAGAGCGACAAAAGGGCGAAAGGGGGAGGAAGGGGUGGGGAGUGAGGGAUGAGGGGCAUAGGGUGGUAAAGAUUUUGGCGGGGGUAUGAAAAGGACAGGGCGGGGAGAAUAAUCUCUGGGCAAGUAAGGAAAGGAAGGAGGGGGAAGAGGAAGAGCCGCCGACCGCCC
rnacentral:rRNA from 1 species